rnacentral:rRNA from 1 species
GACGAACGCUGGCGGCGUGCUUAACACAUGCAAGUCGAGCGGUAAGGCCCUUUCGGGGGUACACGAGCGGCGAACGGGUGAGUAACACGUGGGUGACCUGCCCUCAGCUCUGGGAUAAGCCUGGGAAACUGGGUCUAAUACCGGAUAUGACUCCAUGACGCAUGUUGUGGGGUGGAAAGCCUUGUGCGGCUGAGGAUGGGCCCGCGGCCUAUCAGCUUGUUGGUGGGGUGANGGCCUACCAAGGCGACGACGGGUAGCCGGCCUGAGAGGGCGACCGGCCACACUGGGACUGAGACACGGCCAGACUCCUACGGGAGGCAGCAGUGGGGAAUCUUGCGCAAUGGGCGAAAGCCUGACGCAGCGACGCCGCGUGAGGGAUGACGGCCU